GGCCUGAGAGGGUGACCGGCCACACUGGGACUGAGACACGGCCCAGACUCCUACGGGAGGCAGCAGUGGGGAAUAUUGCACAAUGGGCGCAAGCCUGAUGCAGCGACGCCGCGUGAGGGAUGACGGCCUUCGGGUUGUAAACCUCUUUCAGUAGGGAAGAAGCGAAAGUGACGGUACCUGCAGAAGAAGCACCGGCUAACUACGUGCCAGCAGCCGCGGUAAUACGUAGGGUGCAAGCGUUAUCCGGAAUUAUUGGGCGUAAAGAGCUCGUAGGCGGUUUGUCGCGUCUGCCGUGAAAGUCCGGGGCUUAACUCCGGAUCUGCGGUGGGUACGGGCAGACUAGAGUGCAGUAGG
rnacentral:rRNA from 1 species